UACCAAGGCAAUGAUGCAUAGCCGAGUUGAGAGACUGAUCGGCCACAUUGGGACUGAGACACGGCCCAAACUCCUACGGGAGGCAGCAGUAGGGAAUCUUCCACAAUGGACGAAAGUCUGAUGGAGCAACGCCGCGUGAGUGAAGAAGGUUUUCGGAUCGUAAAGCUCUGUUGUUGGUGAAGAAGGAUAGAGGUAGUAACUGGCCUUUAUUUGACGGUAAUCAACCAGAAAGUCACGGCUAACUACGUGCCAGCAGCCGCGGUAAUACGUAGGUGGCAAGCGUUAUCCGGAUUUAUUGGGCGUAAAGCGAGCGCAGGCGGUUGCUUAGGUCUGAUGUGAAAGCCUUCGGCUUAACCGAAGAAGUGCAUCGGAAACCGGGCGACUUGAGUGCAGAAGAGGACAGUGGAACUCCAUGUGUAGCGGUGGAAUGCGUAGAUAUAUGGAAGAACACCAGUGGCGAAGGCGGCUCUCUGGUCUGCAACUGACGCUGAGGCUCGAAAGCAUGGGUAGCGAACAGGAUUAGAUACCCUGGUAGUCCAUGCCGUAAACGAUGAGUGCUAGGUGUUGGAGGGUUUCCGCCCUUCAGUGCCGCAGCUAACGCAUUAAGCACUCCGCCUGGGGAGUACGACCGCAAGGUUGAAACUCAAAGGAAUUGACGGGGGCCCGCACAAGCGGUGGAGCAUGUGGUUUAAUUCGAAGCUACGCGAAGAACCUUACCAGGUCUUGACAUCUUGCGCUAACCUUAGAGAUAAGGCGUUCCCUUCGGGGACGCAAUGACAGGUGGUGCAUGGUCGUCGUCAGCUCGUGUCGUGAGAUGUUGGGUUAAGUCCCGCAACGAGCGCAACCCU
rnacentral:rRNA from 1 species